rnacentral:snoRNA from 1 species
GGACGGUGAUGAAAAACCGCAACAAAAACAAACCAUCUUCCGGGGCUGAUUGGCGUCGCAGUGCGUGCAGCCAUGAUGCCAACUCUGCAAUUCUGAUGUCC